GUUCUUAAUUUUGUUGUGCAAUAGGUAAAAGUACAUGCAGGUGCAACGAACUGGAAAUUUUCCCAUCACUUCUCCGAUAGGAAAAGAGUCAACCACCAAACUCCACUGAUUGCAGUAUAUGUUAAUAAAUAUAGACUAGUAACUUAGUUUGCAUCUCAUAAAGAUCAACAAUCAACUACUUGAGCACGAAACAUGAAAAAAACAUAAGCAGUAUUUGAAACCACAAACUCCUAAUCGAUUUACCUACAUUGAAAGGACUUAAAAAAAAAAAAAAAAAAGGUAUAAUAGACAACGGCUGAUGCUUUAUGGAAAAGUAUUGAAGGCUUUGUUCUCAAGAACGAGAGUGAGCACAUCACUGAAAGAGAAAAAGGUGAUAAAGCCAUGCAGCCAUGCAAGUAGCAAAUAAUGUCAAGUCACGUGCCGGAGUCAAGUUUGUUUCUGAGUUUGUUAUUCUGUUUCAGGUUGUUAGUGAAUAAGUCCAAGUGGAUAAGUCUUGCUGAUUAUUUUUCCUAAAUCCGUAGCUUAAUUUUUGCAUUAUUGUUAUCAUUUUGAAGGCUAUAAAUAGCCUCGACAUGUUCAAUAAAAAGGUGUGAAAAAUCUAUUCAAGCUUCCUUGAUAUUCUUCUUCUGCUUCCUGUUUAAAUCCUUAUCUUUUUCUGCUUCCUGUUUAAAUCUUUAUCAGUGGUAUUAGAGCCGGUUCUGAUUAUGGACACUCGUGGCAAAACCAAUGCGGAAUUUCACAAUGAGGUGAAUGAAUCCUUGGCUCGACAUGAGUCCAAUUUCGACCAAAUCAAUAUGGCUCUACGAACUGUAUUAACUGAGUUACAGGCUUUAAGGGUCUCUAACACAACACACACUAGUCCAGCUGAUGUUAACCCAUUUUACCCAGGUGAAACUUCACACUCUCCAAAUGCUGUGCGGCCCAAAACCCGUAAUGACAAUUAUCACCAGCAUAUCAAGCUGCUCUUUCCUAAGUUCAAUGGCGAGGAUCUAAGUGCCUGGGUUUACAAGGCGGAACAAUACUUUAAGUUUCAAAACAUUGCUUGCGACCAACAAGUGCAGUUGGCUUCUUUCCAUCUAGAGGGCAUUGCUUUACAGUGGCACCACGGACCACUCACUUGGGCGGAGUUUACCAAGGCAGUCCUUCUUCGUUUUGGCCCCACAGAUUAUGAGGAUCCAUCUGAGGCUUUAACUCGGCUUAGACAAACUACCAAUGUGGCUGAAUAUCAAGAAGCUUUCGAAAAGCUUUCCCACCGAGUUGAUGGCCUGCCUGAAACAUUUCUUAUUGGUUGUUUUAUUGCGGGACUUCGAGACGAUAUUCGCAUAGAUGUAAAAAUCAAACAACCUAGCACCUUGGCUGAUGCAAUAGGAGUUGCCCGAUUAAUUGAAGAACGAAAUCAAUUACAGAAGAAAACAAACCAACCAAUUCGUUCCCAACCAGCCAUAAUGGCACCCAAGACGAGCCUCAACCGAACAGCCGGCAUACUUGGCCCUCCACCUAGCCAGCGUGGGAACCCAAACUCAAAUAUGACUCCGACCACAUUUCGACGUAUCACCAAUCAAGAGGCACGAGAGCGACGUGACAAAGGGUUAUGUUACUACUGUGAUGAGAAAUUUGUUCCAGGCCAUCGGUGUGAACGCUCGCAAUUAUUUAUGAUGGAAGAUUUACCUCACCUAAGCUUUGAUGGAGAUGAUCUUGCUGAACAUGAACCUGAGGAUCCAAAAGUUAUGCCCGAAAUCUCUUUCCAUGCAAUUUCUGGGACAAACCAUCCUCAAAAUUUACGUGUAUUGGGCAAGCUGAAAAACAAGAAUGUUACUGUACUCAUAGACAGUGGUAGCACCCACAACUUCAUCAAUCAAUCUAUAGUCAACAAGUAUGGGUUACCAGUAAUCCACGAUAAGAAAUUCCAAGUCAUGGUAGCCAAUCGAGUGAAUACAGAUUGUGCUGGACAAUGCCAAGCACUCACCAUUACCAUCCAAGGUAAACCCAUCACUGCAGAUUAUUAUGUUCUCCUUGUUGCCGCAUGCAAAUUGGUUUCAGGAGUACAAUGGCUGGAGACUCUCGGUCCAAUCGAGACAGACUAUAGGCAGCUAACAAUGACCUUCAAAGUUGGAGAAGUUUCCCACACAUUCCAAGGACUAAAACAGGCUAGCAUCGAAGUUUUAACGGAAAAAGAAUUUGGUUGCCUACAAGGUAGUGGACUUCUCUUUCAAAUCUUACUCUCAGUAGAUAGCUCCCAGCUAAACUCCUACCCUCCUGACCUAACCCAGCUUUUAACCACUUUUCAUAAAGUAUUUGAAUCAUCGACUAACCUACCGCCAAAGCGAUUACAUGAUCAUCGCAUUCCCCUACAGCCAAACACGGAGCCAGUAAGUGUUAGGCCAUAUCGAUAUCCUUAUUACCAAGAAACUGAAAUUGAAAAGAUGGUGAGGGAGCUCCUGCAAUCCGGAUUGAUAAGACCAAGUAAUAGCCCAUUCUCAUCACCGGUUCUAUUAGUGAAGAAGGCAGAUGGUGAUUGGCGAUUUUGUGUAGACUAUCGAGCAUUGAACCAUAUAACAAUCAAGGACAAAUACCCUAUUCCGGUUAUUGAUGAGCUCCAUGGAGCCAAAUUCUUCUCCAAGUUAGAUUUAAAAGCUGGCUAUCACCAAAUUCGGGUACAAGAAGAAGACAUUCAGAAAACAGCUUUUCGAACACACGAAGGGCACUACGAGUUCCUUGUAAUGCCAUUUGGCCUCACCAAUGCACCUUCCACCUUCCAAAGCCUCAUGAAUGACCUCUUCCGCCCCUAUCUUCGGAAGUUUAUCUUGGUUUUUUUUGACGAUAUUCUAGUGUAUUCACAAACAUGGGAAGAUCACCUCUCACAUCUAUAUAUAGUUCUCACCAUUCUGGAAACUAACCAUUUAUUUGCUAAAAGGACAAAGUGCAAGUUUGGUGUUACCCAAGUUAACUAUUUGGGUCACAUUAUUUCUGAGCAUGGAGUGGCUAUGGACCCAACAAAAAUACAAGCUAUCCUUGAAUGGCCAACACCCACCACAACCAAGGGAGUACGUGGAUUUCUCGGGUUGGCAGGAUAUUAUCGAAAAUUUAUAUGAGAUUUUGGAUGUAUAGCUGCCCCAUUAACUCAACUCUUAUCCAAGGAAGGAUUUAAAUGGAAUGAGGCAGCCGAGUUAGCCUUUAAAAGGUUGAAGAAAGCGUUGACAUCGCCACCAGUUCUACGUAUUCCCGAUUUCUCCCAACGGUUUGUGAUUGAAUGUGAUGCAAGUGGGAUUGGAAUUGGAGCAAUCUUAUCUCAACAAAAUCGACCAGUAGCUUACUUCAGCGAGGCUUUGAAAGGAUCAGCUUUGUUACUGUCUACCUAUGAGAAAGAAAUGUUAGCCAUUGUCAAAUCUAUUAAAAAAUGGCGCCCAUAUCUUCUUGGAAAACCGUUUACAGUUCGCACAGACUAAAAAAGUCUUAAAUAUUUACUUGAGCAGCGGAUCACUACCCCAGCACAAACUCGAUGGCUUCCAAAGAUCCUUGGAUAUGAUUAUGAAAUUGAGUAUAAGCGGGGGCCCAAAAAUCAAGCUGCUGAUUCAUUGUCCCGUGUGGUCGAAUUUCAAUUCCUAUCCAUUUCCAUGCCACGUGCGGAUUGGUGGUCAAUAUUACAAAGUGAGGUGUCACAGGAUCCCUUCUAUACAAAACUAAGCCAAACAUAGUCAGUCCACCAAUUGGUUUAACGAGAUGGAGUGUGGUUUAAAAAUGACAAGGUUUACUUGAGCCCAACUUCAAACUUGAUUCAGAAAAUAAUUUUCGAUUGCCACUCAACGCCUACGGGAGGACACUUUGGGUUCCAUAAGACUCUCUCCCGUAUUAAACUCAGCUUCUUGUGGCCUAAUAUGUGCAGGACAGUCAAGGAAUUUCUACAGCAAUGCACUAUUUGUCAACAGUACAAAACAGAUUGUAUGAAGCCGGCUGGGCUAUUACAACCCUUACCAAUUCCGGCUCAAAUAUGGACUGAUGUCUCAAUGGAUUUUAUUGAAGGAUUACCGCCAUCAAAUGGACAUACUGUCAUCAUGGUAGUCGUUGAUCGCUUAACAAAGUAUGCCCACUUUGUAGCCUUGAAACAUCCAUUUACCGCAAUCAUUGUUGCCAAAGCAUUUGUAGCCAAUAUAGUUCGUCUCCAUGGCAUUCCCACAUCCAUUGUCAGUGAUCGAGAUAAGGUGUUUAUCAGCUCCUUUUGGCAAGCAUUAUUCCAAUUACAAGGAACCAAGCUUUGCAUGAGCUAAAGCUACCAUCCUCAAUCUGAUGGCCAAACGGAGGUAGUAAACCGUACCUUGGAGCAAUAUUUAUGAUGUUUUGCAGGCGAUCGACCACGGAAAUGGCUAGAAUGGAUUCCUUGGGCUGAGUUUAGCUAUAACACAUCUAUCCACUCCUCCACUAAAAUGACGCCCUUCGAAGCUGUAUACGGUAUUCCACCCCCAAGUGUACUCACUUACAUUCCUGGCACUUCCCACAUCCAAGCAGUUGAUGAAUACCCACGUGAUCGAGAUGUCAUUCUGCGUGAGUUGCGUCACAAUCUUUCAGUAGCCCAACAUCGAAUGAAGUGUCAAGCCGAUCGACAUCGGCGAGAGGUCUCCUUUGAAGUAGGUGACUAUGUGUAUUUGAAGCUCUAGCCAUAUCGUCAAACGCCAGUGGCAUUUCGAGCUUCAAUGAAGCUUGCCCCACGUUUUUUUGGUCCUUAUCAGAUUAUUGAGAAGGUGGGUACAGUGGCAUAUCGGUUAGCUCUCCCUUCUGGCUCCCAAACUCAUGAUGUGUUUCAUGUUAGCAUGUUACGGAAGCAUUUGGGUCCGUUAAUCACUCCAAUUUCAAGACAACCUCCACCAGUAACAGAUGAUUCUAUUAUUCUUCCCGAACCUGAAGCUGUCCUGGAUGGUCGACUCAUUCAUAAAGGAAAUUAUCGUCCAAAGUCUGAGGUUUUAAUUAAAUGGAAGGGGGCUCCAAGGGAAGAUGCAACCUGGGAAAAUGAAAGGCGCUUUACAAAGAGAUAUCCAAAUUUUAUCCUUGCGGACAAGGAUCUUUAAGUGGGGGGGAUUGAUAAAGCCAUGCAGCCAUGCAAGUAGCAAAUAAUGUCAAGUCACGUGCUGGAGUCAAGUUUGUUUCUGAGUUUGUUAUUUUGUUUCAGGUUGUUAGUGAAUAAGUCCAAGUGGAUAAGUCUUGCUGAUUAUUUUUCCUAAAUCCGUAGCUUAAUUUUUGCAUUAUUGUUAUCAUUUUGAAGGCUAUAAAUAGCCUCGACAUGUUCAAUAAAAAGGUGUGAAAUAUCUAUUCAAGCUUCCUUAAUAUUCUUCUUCUGCUUCCUGUUUAAAUCCUUAUCUUCUUCUGCUUCCUGUUUAAAUCUUUAUCAAAAGGAUAAAAUAAAACGUGUUGGUCAUACCUGUUGGGGAUCAUCACGUGUUAGAUCCUGGUUCAAUUUAGCUAAAGUUUUCUGCUAGCCAGUCUGGUGUUGAUUUUCCUUUUCUAUCUUUAGUGAUAAUUUGUUCUACUUACAGUCAUUGACUAAGUAGAUACUUGAUUUUCAUUGAUACAGCAGUGAUCCAAGAGAUGUCAUUGAUGAAUGUUGUGCAGCCUCUAGGUAGACAGAAUUUCGUAGUCUUGGUAUUGAGUAAAGUUGAUUUACACUUGGACCAUGAUUUUCUACAAAAAAUUCAAGCGUCAUAAUCAUCAACAUUCUUGCUUUAAAUUUACUCUCAGCGUUUUCUUCACAUUUGUUGAAUAUCGUGACAAUUUAACUUCCAUUCUUCAACCAAUCAUGGGAAAGGAACUCUCACUUAAUUGUUACUUGCUUUCAUGAUGACAAAGGUUAGCUCGAAAAAUAUAAGUCAAUAGAUCUUAAUACCUAAUAAAUUGAACCAAUGGAACAAUAUUCGGCUCCACGAGAGGCCAAGUCAUAGUAACAUACACAAGGCAAACCAUUUUGAUCUUCAAAAUCAUUUGCCAUUGAAAUAAAUUUCCUUCAAAGAGUAUAUUAAAUUAGAAACAAAAUAAUCAAGAUUCAAUCAAAAUACAGAAGUUCUAAGUCAUUUCUUCAAGGAAAAAUCUUAAAAAAG
rnacentral:lncRNA from 1 species